AGUAACGCGUGGGUAACCUGCCCUGUACACACGGAUAACAUACCGAAAGGUAUGCUAAUACGAGAUAAUAUACUUUUAUCGCAUGGUAGAAGUAUCAAAGCUUUUGCGGUACAGGAUGGACCCGCGUCUGAUUAGCUAGUUGGUAAGGUAACGGCUUACCAAGGCGACGAUCAGUAGCCGACCUGAGAGGGUGAUCGGCCACAUUGGAACUGAGACACGGUCCAAACUCCCACGGGAGGCAGCAGUGGGGAAUAU
rnacentral:rRNA from 1 species